UACUGGGACUCUAACCAUAGGCCAUGAAUCUGGUCUUGGGACACUGUCAGGUGGGCAGUUUGACUGGGGCGGUCGCCUCCCAAAAGGUAACGGAGGCGCUCAAAGGUUCUCUCAGUACGGUCGGAAAUCGUACGUAGAGUGUAAAGGCAAAAGAGAGCUUGAUUGCAAGACAUACAGGUCGAGCAAGGAUGAAAAUCGGACUUAGUGAUCCGGUGGUUCUGCGUGGAAGGGCCAUCGCUCAACGGAUAAAAG
rnacentral:rRNA from 1 species